rnacentral:rRNA from 1 species
UACGUAGGGUGCGAGCGUUGCCCGGAUUUAUUGGGCGUAAAGGGCGCGUAGGCGGCUCUGCACGUCCGUUGUGAAAUCGCCCGGCUCAACUGGGCGGGGUCAGCGGAUACGGCGGAGCUUGAGCAAGCUAGGGGGCAAUGGAAUUCCCGGUGUAGUGGUGAAAUGCGCAGAUAUCAGGAGGAACACCGGUGGCGAAGGCGGGUCUCUGGGCCGAUACUGACGCUGAGGAGCGAAAGCGUGGGGAGCGAACAGG